rnacentral:rRNA from 1 species
GACGAACGCUGGCGGCGUGCCUAAUACAUGCAAGUAGAACGCUGAAGGAGGAGCUUGCUUCUCUGGAUGAGUUGCGAACGGGUGAGUAACGCGUAGGUAACCUGCCUGGUAGCGGGGGAUAACUAUUGGAAACGAUAGCUAAUACCGCAUAAUAGCAGUUGUUGCAUGACAACUGUUUGAAAGGUGCAAUUGCACCACUACCAGAUGGACCUGCGUUGUAUUAGCUAGUUGGUGGGGUAACGGCUCACUAAGGCGACGAUACAUAGCCGACCUGAGAGGGUGAUCGGCCACACUGGGACUGAGACACGGCCCAGACUCCUACGGGAGGCAGCAGUAGGGAAUCUUCGGCAAUGGACGGAAGUCUGACCGAGCAACGCCGCGUGAGUGAAGAAGGUUUUCGGAUCGUAAAGCUCUGUUGUAAGAGAAGAACGAGUGUGAGAGUGGAAAGUUCACACUGUGACGGUAUCUUACCAGAAAGAGACGGCUAACUACGUG